rnacentral:rRNA from 1 species
AUUGAACGCUGGCGGCAUGCUUUACACAUGCAAGUCGAACGGUAACAGGGAGCUUGCUCCGCUGACGAGUGGCGAACGGGUGAGUAAUAUAUCGGAACGUACCCAAGAGGUGGGGGAUAACGUAGCGAAAGUUACACUAAUACCGCAUACGAUCUAUGGAUGAAAGCGAGGGGGACCCGCAAGGUCCUUGUGCCUCCUGG